rnacentral:rRNA from 1 species
GUCGAACGGAAAGGCCCUGCUUUUGUGGGGUGCUCGAGUGGCGAACGGGUGAGUAACACGUGAGUAACCUGCCCUUGACUUUGGGAUAACUUCAGGAAACUGGGGCUAAUACCGGAUAGGAGCUCCUGCUGCAUGGUGGGGGUUGGAAAGUUUCGGCGGUUGGGGAUGGACUCGCGGCUUAUCAGCUUGUUGGUGGGGUAGUGGCUUACCAAGGCUUUGACGGGUAGCCGGCCUGAGAGGGUGACCGGCCACAUUGGGACUGAGAUACGGCCCAGACUCCUACGGGAGGCAGCAGUGGGGAAUAUUGCACAAUGGGCGGAAGCCUGAUGCAGCAACGCCGCGUGCGGGAUGACGGCCUUCGGGUUGUAAACCGCUUUCGCCUGUGACGAAGCGUGAGUGACGGUAAUGGGUAAAGAAGCACCGGCUAACUACGUGCCAGCAGCCGCGGUGAUACGUA